UACGAAGGGGGCUAGCGUUGCUCGGAUUUACUGGGCGUAAAGGGCGCGUAGGCGGACAGUUAAGUCGGGGGUGAAAGCCCGGGGCUCAACCUCGGAAUUGCCUUCGAUACUGGCUGUCUUGAGUACGGGAGAGGUGUGUGGAACUCCGAGUGUAGAGGUGAAAUUCGUAGAUAUUCGGAAGAACACCAGUGGCGAAGGCGGCUCACUGGCCCGAUACUGACGCUGAGGCACGAAAGCGUGGGGAGCAAACAGG
rnacentral:rRNA from 1 species